UGGGCAUGUAGUGUAGAGGAUAUCACUCAGGCCUCCGGAGCCUGGAACCUGGGUUCGACUCCCAGCAUGCCCGU
rnacentral:tRNA from 1 species